ensembl:lncRNA
UGCACCCAGACUAACGUCUGCGUAGAGCCUGCCCUCAGCCUGAAAUCUCACUCAAAAAGCUUCUCUCUGCUGGUAGCACCCGCAGCAGGUGGUAUCUCAGUGCUGAAGGCUGGGUCACAUUCAGAAGGUUUUGUGUGAUGUUAGACCUGCAAAUACAGGUGUCCGAGCAGAACCAACGUGUGCGGCCUCUCCUGGCUCACCCCUGCCAUCCCUCCCCAGCGCACAGAGUUUGUUCUGGUGAGGAACUGGGAUUACAGAGAUUAAGGAGACAUCGUGUGGUGGAAGCAAAGCCUCAGUGCGUGAGGAGAUAAAGGAGCUUUGGACAUGAAGUGAGCACAGUGUGGACUGGACAAACCAGGGACACAGAAGGAGGCUUGCACGCCCUGAAUGCACACACCGUCAGUAACAAAGGCAGCAGCCUCCACAAUUGGAACAAGUUGUGCUGGCCUAUUCGAAGCCCCCAUCCCUUCUAUUGCCGUGUGUGUCUCUCUCUGUACCAUGGAAGGAUACAGUGCAACCGUUAUUCUCUGCAAAACUACUUGUCAACUGCCCAGCGGCUAUAUAAACACUGCGGGAAAACGCUGCGUGAAUCUUUAAAAUCAUCAUCAAGUGCCUUUAAGCCACUGGCUCCCAUCUCGGGUUGAGAUCUAAUACUCUGCAUUAAAAAAGAAACAGCUGAAACACCACCUCGUUUUUACAGUCAGGAAAUAUCUUGUGCUUAUUGCCAUUAUCAAAAAUGAUUUUAGCUUAAACUGUGAUGCUGCAGCAUAGGAC